GUGCUUUCAACAUUGAAUCAAUGUCUGUUUUUGUAUACUAAAUCGCGGUAAAUUAAAACGUUGAAUAAGCGUUGAAAUUGUAACAUAAUUUAGCCUCUCAAAAUAAAACGUUUACUCAACGUGGAAUCAACUUACGCAAAAAGCCACUUUAAAAACGUUUCAAAGAAUAUUCUUUAUCAACGUUAAAAACUAACCGCUAUUUAAACGUUACAUUUUCAAUGUUGAAUAAGCGUAUAAAUUUAAACGUAUCUUAUCUUCUCAAAAAAAUGCGUUUAUUAAAUGUUGAAAAUUAGUACGCAAAUAAUCACUGUAAAAACGUCGCAAAGGUAAUGGUUUAUCAACGUUAGACAUUAGGUGCUUUUUCAACGAAUUCAAACUAUUUGAAAAACAACACUUAUUCAACGUUAUUUCAACGUUGGUUGAAAUUGUGGUAAUUAAAAAACGUUGAAAAAGUGUAACUUUGCCAACGUUAUUAAAACUUUGUUUUGACAAUGUUGAGGAAGUGGCACAUUAAAAAUUAUUGCCUCUAUAACUAGCCAUUACAAAAAUAAUUUGCCGUAAUGGAAAGGCAAGGAAAGCUUGAUAGAAUGCAUGCAUAUGGUUUGAAGCAGAGGCAAUUGCUCCAUCUUGUUCGAAAAAAGAUGGAUGGUUAUUUUGGCCAACUUGAGUUCAUGCAAUGAAAGCUACCUAUAAUAAUUUUCCAACCAUUUAUUCCUGCAACAAGCUUAGACUUGAAAGAGUUAAUGUAACUGGAGAUAAAAAAGUAUGUGCAGGAUUUAAUUUCACGACUAAAGAGGAUUCCGAAGAAGAAUUAAAGUUCUGGUGGAUCAAAAAUCAAGGAAUGAUUUGGUUUUAACUGGUUUGCAUCUUAUGAACAAUAAUAUGAUUUAAAUUGAGGAUUUAGAGUUACACCUAUUGAAAUUCUGUAUCUCAAUGAUAUCCUGACUUAUCGAUACGAUAUCCUGUAAAUCCAAUCACAC